CACGUAGGGCGCAAGCGUUGUCCGGAAUUAUUGGGCGUAAAGAGCUCGUAGGCGGUCUGUUGCGUCUGCUGUGAAAACCCGGGGCUUAACCCCUGGCUUGCAGUGGAUACGGACAGACUAGAGGUAGGUAGGGGAGAAUGGAAUUCCCGGUGUAGCGGUGAAAUGCGCAGAUAUCGGGAAGAACACCCGUGGCGAAGGCGGUUCUCUGGGACGGUACUGACGCUGAGACGCGAAAGCGUGGGGAGCGA
rnacentral:rRNA from 1 species